rnacentral:rRNA from 1 species
GGAAUAUUGGUCAAUGGAGGGAACUCUGAACCAGCCAUGCCGCGUGAGGGAAGAAGGCCCUAUGGGUUGUAAACCGCUUUUGUUGGGGAGCAAUAAGGUCCACGUGUGGAUCGAUGAGAGUACCCAGCGAAUAAGCAUCGGCUAACUCCGUGCCAGCAGCCGCGGUAAUACGGAGGAUGCAAGCGUUAUCCGGAUUUAUUGGGUUUAAAGGGUGCGUAGGCGGAUGCCUAAGCGUGAGGUGAAAUCCCCGGGCUCAACCUGGGAACUGCCUCGCGAACUGGGUAUCUGGAAUGUCCGUGCCGUGGGAGGAAUGUGUGGUGUAGCGGUGAAAUGCAUAGAGAUCACACAGAACACCGAUUGCGAAGGCAUCUCACGAACGGAUGAUUGACGCUGAGGCACGAAAGCGUGGGGAUCAAACA